rnacentral:rRNA from 1 species
GACGAACGCUGGCGGCGUGCUUAACACAUGCCAGUCGAACGGAAAGGCCCCUUUGGGGGUACUCGAGUGGCGAACGGGUGAGUAACACGUACGUAACCUGCCCUUGACUUCGGGAUAACUUCAGUAAACUGGGGCUAAUACCGGCUAGGAAUCCUUGCUGCCUGGUGGGGGUUGGAAAGCUUCGGCGGUUUUGGAUGGACUCGCGGCUUAUCAGCUUGUUGGUGGGGUAGUGGCUUACCAAGGCUUUGACGGGUAGCCGGCCUGAGAGGGCGACCGGCCACAUUGGGACUGAGAUACGGCCCAGACACCGACGGGAGGCAGAAGUGGGGAAUAUUGCACAAUGGGCGGAAGCCUGAUGCAGCAACGCCGCGUGCGGGAUGACGGCCUUCGGGUUGUAAACCGCUUUCAGCAGGGGCGAAGCUUGUGGUGACGGUACCUGCAGAAGAAGCACCGGCUAACUACGUG